rnacentral:lncRNA from 1 species
AUGAGACAGGGGAAUGGAGCCUGUGCUGCAGGUGUUGCCGUCUCGCUGGCCUUUCCUGGGCCGCCGCUGCCGGCCGUCACUCUUGGUUCCCAGGAUGGCUCUCGGGAAGGGUACCUGGGUGGUCCCCGGCGGCAGGCGGGGCCCAGAACCACACAGCUCCGUUGUUCACUGAAGGCCUUCAGAGUGUUCUGCGCAGGCUGGGAUGGGGGCGGCAGCUGCCUCAGUGGAGAAUGUGAAUCUUUGGCUUCUCAGCCUUGCCCCUGGCUCUGCUUUGGGGCCUUUGCUUCUGGGCAUGAGCCCCCCUGCCCCCGACCUCCAGUCCAGCAGGAAGAGUGGGCACCACUGGCCAGGUUUGUCUUGCUGUGGCCGCGUGUUUGGGAGGCCUGGGGAGGGGCUGACAGUCCCGGGGUUUCUGAGGAUGAGGAUGUGUGCCUUGGAGCUCUCCCAAGAGGCCAGUCUUGGUUUGACAUGGGUGGUUCCCACAAACGCUGGGGCUGGGGGGUUUCCAGCCGCCCUCUGGGCUUGCACUUUGGACCUUUAUCGCCAAGCCUUCAGGGCAGGGAAGGGGAGAGGGAAUGAAACCGGUGCAGCCAGCAGGUCCCCCCAGCAGGUCCCCCCAGCUCCGCCUUCUGGAGAGCGCCAGUGCCGGGAGCAGAAUGAAGCCUGCGUGGGUGCUCCUCCUGUCCGUCCUGAGCCAGGGCUGAGGUUUUCAGCAGCUGCAACGCCACAGGACCUGUGAGGAGAGAUGGCACGUGAAGGUCUGGUGGCCGGCAGACUCUACGCAAAGGAGGCCUGGGAGUGCCAUCCUGAAGGCCCCACUCUCCUCAGGGCCAGCUGCUGGCCAUGGGUCAGACAGAUCACUGCGACCCCACAGCCAAUGCAAGCAGAUGCAAGCGUGGUUGUUCCUUGUCCAGGGAGCUGCUACCUCGGGCUGCCAGGGCCUGGCAUCUAGUGGGCACAGCCAAGCCCACGGGAGCAGAGCCGUGGCUUCCAGGGGCACAUGAUGCUGGCCUGACCUGGGCUGGCUGAGGGGCCCAGCCCGGGCAGGCAUCUGGGCUCCCCUCAAGCAGACUGCCUGUCUGCUGCCUCAUCUCCCGGGAGCAGAGCCUCAGCCUGCCUAGGUGCAGGUCAUCCACACAGCUUGGCCACACCCAGGCCACCUCACAGUCACAGCCAUGCCACCUGCUGAGCCCCGAGAUGUGUGGGCCACAUGCUGGCUGGCUGCUUCUGCUGUGUUCCUGCCACAGCUCUCCCCAGCUCUGUGGGCUGGAACCAGGAGAGGUGAAGGGGAGGCUGGGCAGAGGCAGGCUGGGCAGAGGCAGGCUCUUGCUCUUGGAGGCAGACGUGGGUUUCGGUGCCGCCCAGCUCUGACACCCAGGUCGGAGCUGCUGCCCUUCACAGUCCAGCACAUUUCUGGUCCUGUCUCAGGCCUACUCCUUGAACCUGCCUCUGACCUCAUGGGAGUGGGUUUCUCUGGCGACCAGACCCUGUGUGGCCUUCUGCUUACGCCUCUGCCAUCUCAUGGCACUGGGGGCUCAGUGACCCCAGUUGGACCUUGCUCUGUGGGAAGCAGCCUGGGGGCUACAGGAGGCAAUGUGGGGGUCACCCCAUCUCUUUGGAGUUGGAUACAACCUCCCGUCUGGCCUUAACUGUGCUGACUCCUGACCUCUGACCUUCAAGCCUCCAGGCUCGGUCCAACUGGUAACUUUAAAGGACACGGCCUCUUGGUGUCUGGGCGGGACCCAUGGAUCGGUAUGGGAGGGCAGCUGGAUACACUUUCUGGGGUCCUCUGGACUCAGGGGGUGCUGUAAUCCCCUCCUCUUUCUGGUGACCUGGUAGGGACACCUCCUCCCAGGGACACCCUGCAGGCCAAGCCCAGGUCCCCAGGUCGCCCUCUCUCUUCCAAGCAUUUGAAAGACACUGACAGAUGAUAAUGCUUCCCCUCUUCCAAGCAUUUGAAAGACACUGGCAGAUGAUAAUGCUUCCCCUCUUCCAAGCAUUUGAAAGACACUGGCAGAUGAUAAUGCUUCCCCCUCCUCCCAUUUAGGGAAAGGCCUGAAAGUAAAAUUGUAUCCACAUUAGGUUUGGCUGAUGUUGCCAUCAGGUAAACCUGAUGUUAAUGAAGCCGGGAGGUUCUCUUGUGCGGUAUUUGGACAGGCUUGGCGUGGAAACCACCUGAGGUAUUGUUGAUCCAUCUGUUCAUCAAGUCGGUUUUUUUUUUUUGAGAUGGAGUCUCACUCUGUUGCCCAGGCUGGAGUGCAGUAGCGCAAAUCUCAGCUCGCUGCAACCUCCGCCUCCCGGGUUCUCCUGCCUCAGCCUCCCAAGUAGCUGGAAUUAUAAGCACACACCAACACACCUGGUUAAUUUUUAAUAUUUUUGGUUGGGAUGGGGUUUUGCCAUGUUGGCCAGGCUGUCUCAAACUCAAGUGAUCUGCCCACCUUGGCCUCCUAAAGCGCUGGGAUUAUAGGUGUGAGCCACCGUGCCUGGCAUGUUCAUCAAGUUUUUAUUGAGUAUCUAUUGUGUGCUGGUAUUGAGGUAGACUGGGGAUCACAGCAGUGAAUGUGGCUGCCUGAAUGCCUCGUGAAGGCAGGGGUCUCACCGGGGAGAUGGAAAUGAACAGCAAACCCACAUUGAGGUUGGUCCCAGCAUCUGAGACCACACCAAGGGCGAAGGAGGGGCUGGCAGUGCUGAGGCAGGGCUGCGUCUCUCAGCAUCCUGAUGGGAAACCAUCUCUGGCGGGAAAGCCAGGGAUCCAUGCAUGAGUGCAGUGAUGAGGCUGCCCACAGGGAUGUCACAGGAUGCGAGAAUCAGCCAAAACCUAUGGCCCCUGCAGCCACUGAGGGCUUGAGGGAGCCCUACGUGGUGACAUCCAGGAAUGUGGCUGAGCGUGGGUGUUGACCUUGCCGUUUGCUGG